CCGCGGUAAAACCAGCUCUUCAAGUGGUGGGGACAAUUAUUGGGCUUAAAGYGUUCGUAGCCGGUUAGUAAGUUCYUGGUUAAAUCYGGCRGCUUAACUGUCAGWUGGCUAAGAAUACUGCUUUACUWGGGGGCGRGAAAGGUMCGACGGUAYUYCMGGGGUAGCGGUGAAAUSUGAUAAUCCUUGGGAGGACCACCAGUGGCGAAAGCGUCCUGGACUGGAACGCGCCCGACGGUGAGGGAYGAAAGCUAGGGGAGCGAACSGGAUYAGAUACCCCGGUAGUCCYAGCCGUAAACGAUGCGCKCUAGGUGUUGGUACGGCUAUGAGCUGUAUYAGUGCCGYAGGGAAACUGUUAAGUGCGCCGCCUGGGMAGUACGCUCGCAAGAUGAAACUUAAAGGAAUUGGCGGGGGAACACA
rnacentral:rRNA from 1 species